UCGUCGCAAGCGAUGGGUUCGACGAGGACU
rnacentral:sRNA from 1 species